rnacentral:rRNA from 1 species
AUGGCCCCAUGCACGCCACUUCAUUCGUGUGCAAGAAUUCAAGCCAUCCUGUGGAAGCAUAAAAGUGUGAAACGCUCGGCGAACGGCGUCACAGGAUAUGCACAUGCAAUUGCAAUUGCAAAGAAGUUGGGCUGGGCACUGCCAAAGAUCGAUCGAUGGAAAGCACCGCCUGCGCGAGAAGAGGAAGAGGAAGAGAGACAAGCAUCGAUGGCUGGUGGCGAUCAACCUGCGCUGAGGCAAGUGCUCAUGGUGGCCAAGGCCUGCUUCGUCUUGGGCUUGGUGAUGGCCGUGAUCGGGGUCGUUGCCGCCACCAGCAACCCGGGAGACUUCCAGUCGCAGAUCGGGCACGCGGCCGCGGCCAUGGAGGCGGAGGCGCUGCGCGGCCUGCGCCUGCGCUCACCCUGGUGCUCCUCGGGGCAGUGGCGU